GUAGGGAAUAUUGGGCAAUGGUCGGAAGACUGACCCAGUCAUGCCGCGUGCAGGAAGACGGCCCUCUGGGUUGUAAACUGCUUUUAUCUGGGAAGAAAAAGGCCAUGCGUGGCAAAUUGCCGGUACCAGAUGAAUAAGCACCGGCUAACUCCGUGCCAGCAGCCGCGGUAAUACGGAGGGUGCGAGCGUUGUCCGGAUUUAUUGGGUUUAAAGGGUGCGUAGGCGGCUGCUUAAGUCAGCGGUGAAAGACUUCGGCUUAACCGGAGCAGUGCCGUUGAUACUGGUUGGCUUGAGUGUCGGAGGGGUACAUGGAGUUGAUGGUGUAGCGGUGAAAUGCAUAGAUACCAUCAGGAACACCGAUAGCGAAGGCAUUGUACUGGCCGACAACUGACGCUGAUGCACGAAAGUGUGGGGAUCGAACAGGAUUAGAAACCCGUGUAGUCC
rnacentral:rRNA from 1 species